rnacentral:rRNA from 1 species
GAUGAACGCUGGCGGCGUGCCUAAUACAUGCAAGUCGAGCGAACAGACGAGGAGCUUGCUCCUCUGACGUUAGCGGCGGACGGGUGAGUAACACGUGGAUAACCUACCUAUAAGACUGGGAUAACUUCGGGAAACCGGAGCUAAUACGGGAUAAUAUAUUGAACCGCAUGGUUCAAUAGUGAAAUACGGUUUUUCUGUCACUUAUAGAUGGAUCCGCGCCGGAUUAGCUGGUUGGUACGGUAAAGGUUUACCAAGGCAACGAUGCGUAGCAGCCAUGAGAGGGUGAUCGGCCACACUGGGACGGAGACACGGUCCAGAGUCCUACGGGAGGCAGCAGUAGGGAAUCUUCCGCAAUGGGCGGAAGCCUGACGGAGCAACGCCGCGUGAGUGAUGAAGGUCUUCGGAUCGUAAAACUCUGUUAUUAGGGAAGAACAAAUGUGUAAGUAACUAGGCACGUCUUGACGGUACCUAAGCAGAGAGCCACGGCUAACUACGUG